rnacentral:misc_RNA from 1 species
AUUGGUGGCCAUCCCACAACUUGUGCCUUCGAAGCAGGAGCAACUCCAUGGCCAUUAACUGCAGGAACUUGAUUCUUCUUCUCCUGCGCGACCGGUUUCGGUGACUGGGGCAACCCGUCUAUGUUAACCGUAACCGAAUCCGACCCAGUAAUCACUUUGCCAGCAUUAGCAGCUAUGGGAGAAAAAUCAGGCUCAGAUCCAGCACUGCCUGAGAAAACCCAGUUGACAGAGCCACCGUGAAUGGCAACAGAAAAGCCCCUUUUGGCACCUGACACGAAGCUCUUAUUAUUAUUGUUGCAGCUGUUGCUGUUGUUGCUGUUGUUAGGUGCACCAAUACUAAGUUGCGAGUUCCCA